rnacentral:rRNA from 1 species
UACAGAGGGUGCUAGCGUUGUUCGGAAUCAUUGGGCGUAAAGGGCGUGUAGGCGGUUUGCUAAGACAGGUGUGAAAUCCCCGGGCUUAACCUGGGAACUGCGCUUGUAACUGGCAAGCUAGAGUGUGGCAGAGGGGGGUGGAAUUCCACGUGUAGCAGUGAAAUGCGUAGAGAUGUGGAGGAACACCGAUGGCGAAGGCAGCCCCCUGGGCUAACACUGACGCUCAUGCACGAAAGCGUGGGGAGCAAACAGG